CACUCUCUGGGACUGGAUGGAGCCACAUGCCAAAGUCAAUUGUGCUAGCGGGAUAGCUGUUCUUGCUGUUGUCAUUUUGGUGCUGUCGAAUGUCGCUUCGAAUGUGCCAACCGGUAUGCUGAAUUGCUGAUCCUACUCCUGAAUAAACCCGACAUUUAAUUAGUCUAACAGAAUCCUCAACUUGAUUACCUCUUUGGUCUAGGGCUUGUCUAUCGUGCCGAUAAGAAACUUCAAACCAGACAGUUUACAAUGACCGAAAUAUCUUUGUAGGCGUUGAAGCUUUAACAAUUGCACAACAUGGACGCAUUACCUAAACUCUUACAUGUUCUAACUAUAAUUGGUUCGAUGUCUAUCCCUCGAACCUAUUUGUCAAUGCCAUCCUAUUUAAGUAAGACCAAAGAUUUCUUCUUACUUGAUGUGACAUUUUGCUGAUCGAUCAUUUGCCUACAAACAAUACCAUAAGGUUGUACUUAGGGAUAAGCAUGGUCCAAAUUGGGCUGAUCUGACACCUAACCUAGGGGCUAACCCCCAUAGUAUUGGAUAGGGGUAAGCAUGGUUCGGGCUGGGCCGGUUCACCCUCUAAUCCAAGGACCUAGAGUCAAUCCAAGACCAAUCGAUAAUUUUUUAUUUUAUCUUUUGUACUCCCUAAAAAAACGAUUGAGGACCGGACUGAUUCGGUUCGGUUCGGUUCGGUUCUAGAGUCAAUCCAAGACCAAUCGAUAAUUUUUUAUUUUAUCUUUUGUACUCCCUAAAAAAACGAUUGAGGACCGGACUGACCCAAUAGGUUCAAUCCAGUUUCAAAGUCAACCCAAGACUAACCAAUAAUUUUUUAUUUCAUUUUUUGUACUCCUUAAAAAAACGAUUGAGGACCGGACUGACCCAAUAGGUUCAAUCCAGUUUCAAAGUCAACCCAAGACUAACCAAUAAUUUUUUAUUUCAUUUUUUGUACUCCUUGAAAGGGCAAUUAAGGACCGUAUCGACCCAAUGGGUUCGAUAAUGAGCGAGGUCAGCUAAGAAAUGCAAGUGGUGAUGGUCAAGUGGGGUGAGUGUCGAACAGAAUGAGUAUCGAAUGUUGAGCGGGGAGCAACAAGCCAAGCAAGCAUUGAGCGGCGAGCGGAACAAGUGACCCAAAGCGAGUGAGGCGAGUGGAGAAGUUGUUUUUUUUGAUUUCGGAAAAUUGAAAACUAAGAUGACGUAUAAGACAAAAGAGAACGAAUACUAGAUGAGGAUGCCAUAAUGAGUUGUUUAUACCUUUUUUUGGACGCCAUGAGGAUUCUUCACAAAAAUAUUUUCCUCAUUCAUAAAUUAUGAUUAUUGACGCCAUAAAAAAACUUAAAAAUCUAAGUUAUUAAAAAAUAGUGUAAAAUUACUUGAACUCCUCAUUAAAGAAUUGUUUAAUGUUGUUGACGCCGUUUAUUUUAAAGUUUUCUUUAUAUAAAAAAUAAAAAAUAAUAUUAUAUAUAUUCAGGGUUGAUCCGAAUUGGACCGACCCGGAACUCUUAGGACUGAAGACUGACCCGCACAGUGUUGGUCCUAAAAUUCUAGGACUAAGGACCGACCCAGUCUCGCUAAGAACCGGGCCAGGACUGGCAGAAUUGGGCCGGUCCAGGGUCGGUCCAGGGUUGACCCUGGACCGAUGCUCACCCCUAGUAUUGGUCCCCAAUUUUUGGGAUCGAGGAUCGACCGUGUUGAGCCUAGGACCAAAAGUCGAACCGAACCAAUGCUUUGGGUGUGGUCCGGUUCCAAGGUCAUCUCGAGACGAACCGAUUAUUUUUUUGUUUCAUUUUUUGUAUUUCUUGAGAGAACAAACAUAUUAUUUCAAAUUAUAUAUCUAUCGAUAAUACGACAUUGAGAAACUAAAUUAUGAACACUAGUACAUAUCAAAUACAGAUAUAAGAUAAGGUAAUAAUAGAAAUUUCAUACUUGCACGUGAGGCGAGCGAGGAGAGGCUAAAGGUGAGCAACAAGGUGAGUGAACAAAGGCAAGUAGCAAGACGAGUGAGGCAAGUGAAUAGAGACAAGCCACGAGCAAGGCGAGCGAGGCUGAGGUGAGUGAAGAGAGUUCUAUUUUUUAUUUUUAUUUUUUUUGGUCGAAUUAGGGCUAGGUUUUAUUCUACUUUCUAAUUUACACAGCAAAUUGAACUGCGAAGAGAACAAAGGAAGAGACGUUAGGGUUUAGAGUAGACAAAAGUAUAUAAUAUAAAAUAAUAUAUACGUAAGGUUGGUCCGGACCAACCCUAAACAUCUAGGACAGAAGACCAACCUGCACAGUGCAAGGUCCAGGGGUCUCAAGAUCAAGGACCGAUCCAGUCCUCUAGGGAACUGGGUCAGGAUCGGCCAGGUUGGGCCGGUCCAGGGUUUGUCCAGGAUUGACCCUAGAUCAAUGCUCACCCCUAAUUAUACUUAGUUUAUGUAUCUUAUCUUGACAUGUCCACGCAAAGUCCACAUUCCUAUUCUAAUGUUUUUGCCUUCCCUUACUUCUUUAGUUCAAUGUUUUUAACACUUUGUUCUUCAGUUCUCUUGCUUGGAAGCCAGGUGGCUGCAUCGGCAGCUGCUAUUUCAGCCGUGGAAGAGAGGAAGUCAUGGCUCAUAUUAGCUUGGGUGAGCUCAGUUGCAGGGAAUCUCUCGCUGCUCGGAUCGGCGGCAAACUUGAUUGUGUGCGAAAAGGCUCGCCUGGCCCCAAAUCUUGGCUACACUCUAUCCUUUUGGAACCACUUGAAGUUUGGAGUCCCUUCCACCAUUAUUGUAACAGCCAUAGGCUUGGCACUAAUAGGAUGACAAGAAGUAACUAAUAGCAUCUCUCUUGGAUGCUCGAUAGAUCUUUCAAUUAAGGCAAUCUCCUACUGAACUCGCUAUCAGGUUCUUAUGCUAUCUUUUGUCCUAGGGAUGAGGGAACAAAUCGAAGAAUAAUAUUGAUUUUGCUCAUUUCCCACCUAGAGCUGAGUGUUCUUUUAUGCGGGAGUAUCAACUUCUAUCGAUCCAAUCUUACACUCAACUCUUGUCCUGCCCAAUCAUUACCCUUUAAGCAAAGUUCAAUUUUGGCUGCAAUUUGAUUUGAUGGUUCAAGGUUGAAGAUGUCAAUCCUAUGAGAAAGUUACCAAUUCAACAUACUAGUUGUUGAUCGACUACCAAGUUAUCGACUCACACGUUUGUUGUUGAUUUUGAGGCUGCUAAUUGACUACCUAGCAAUUAGCAAUUAGAGGUUGUUUUGGUUUAUUUCCAUUUCUAUUUAUUAAUCUUUUAAGGUGACUAUUUGGCUUCCAAGACUAGUGUACAAAUUUUAUAGUCUAAUAUUUGAUACAUGCAUUUGGUCUUAGUUUCAUGCAUUUAGUCCUAGUUUUUUAUGAGUCUUUACCAAGAGCCAUUUCUGUUUUUAUGAUUCGAAGAGCCAUUUUCUGAUUUGAUGGUGGACCAGACUUGCAUUUGAACAUAAGUGAGAUUUUUCAAAAUACAUUCUAGACUUGCAUGUGUGAACGUGUCGGAAGAAUAGAGAAGAAAACAAACUUGGGGAUGAAUUAUAUAUCAUGAGAAGUGAAAAUCAGAAGAGGAGAAGAUUAUAUAUAUUUUUCUUUCCCCAUUUUUUUUUCUUUCGCAUAUUUACAUUUUGACCUCUCAUUUAUUAAUUUUUUUUUAAAAUUAAUCCAAUGUGGGUCGGAAUCAUGUGUUGGAAUUCCGAACUCUGACACAUUUGUUGAAAGAGUGUCGGACACGUGUUUGAAUGUCCGACAUGAUACAAAAGUUUUCGGAAAGUGUCGGUGAUUUCUAGGAUCCAAUUGGAAUAAGGCGAGGCUUGCUCUCACUAGGUGAGAUUUGAGCUUGUCAAGAUUUGGCAACUUGCAAGAUUCAGCAAGAUCGAUGAGGGUUCACCUCACCAAAUCUAGGCGAGCUCAAGCUUCGCCUGUAGGCAGUCACUGGCCAUCGCAUUGGGUUGGUGAUCGGAGGAGGAAGAAGGAAGAUGAAAAAAGAAAAGAAAAAAUAGAAAAGUCAAUUUUUUUUUUUUUUAAUAAAUAUUGUAAAAAUUGUCCACACUGUGCUACAUAGAAUGGUUAAUAUCAAUGUCAUCAAUUUCUGAUGAAAUUUGGAUGGAAUGAUUAAAUUGAGAUUUUGUCAAAAUGUUUAAGAUUGAAUUAAAAUAAUCAAAAGAUUAUGACUUUUUUUUAUUAGAGAAAUGUUAGAAUUGAAUAGAUAUAAGUACAAUAAGUUUAGGACGUUUUAUUUUUAUUAAUUAGCCAUGCAAAUGUCUGUAUACUUGUCACAACCUAAAUUUCGUGUGCAGCACCUAAGUUUAGGCUUAUGGACUACUAAGUCAUUAAAUUUAGCUCGGGCUCUCCCAAGCCUAUACCAAUUCACGACUUAAUGUUCAAAUAUUUAACAUACAAAUGAUUAUUAUUUAGGAGUCGUCAUUAAUCGGUUUACGGUAGGUCGAUUAGACACCUAAGUAAAAUAAUGAGGGAAUUAUUUUACUCCUACGAACCAGAGAUUAAGGGUACGAGGACUUGGUUACACUAGAUUCCUCUAGUGCUCUUUCGGUAUCAUUUCUUUUUAAUUUUCAAAAAUAUUUUUGCAGGCAGCUUGGAUUGAUUUUAAACCUAUUUCCCUAACAUAUGAGGUGAUCAUACGGGUGCGCAAAUCACCAAUUUAACACCCAAGAAAGUAAUGAAUAAAUUACGGGACUUACCUUGUAGUAAUGAAAGCAUCUGCGUUGUUAGAUAAGAAUUCACAUCAAUAACCUAUAUAUGAUUUCUAAUUAACACGCAGUUUCUUUCUUUUUUUGUUUUCACUUAAUUAACAAGAAUCUAAUCUAUAUGCAAUGCAAUGCUACUAAUCUAGCAUGCAAUGAUAUGGCAUGAUAGUAUAGCCUAACUAUAUAAAUGAGUAAAGUAAUUUUUUGUGUUUUCCUAAUGAACAUGCAAUGAUUAAAUAUGCAAUCUAAAUGAACCAAAAUGACCUAAUCCUAAUGACAGACAAUUUCUAAUUAAAUAAACCUAGCAACAAUCAUUGAAUGACGUGCAUUGCAUAAACCUAGUUCUAUAUGACGUGCAUAUGAUUUUUAUUUUUCUUAAUAAGCAUGCGAUCUAUCCUAAUAUGCAAUGACAUGCAAAGAACAUGCAAUUUAAAUUAAUGAAACAAAAAUCAAACAUCCUAAAUUUAUGUUUUUGGUAUUUUUUUAUUUCAAAAAUUCAGAAUAAAUAAAAUGCUUAGUCUAAAUGUGCAAAUCCUAAGGCAUGCAAUAUUCUAAUAUGAACCUAGUCUAACUUAAACAUAUUUAAGAAUAAAUAAAGCAAUCAAGACGAGACAUUGAAAAUCAUCAAAGAUACCAUAUAUCGUUUAGAUCAAUGAAUAAUAUCUAAAUCAAACUUGAUUUUCUCGCUAAUAAAAUCAAUAAAUUGAUCUUAAACCUUAAAUAUCAAAAUUUCAAUUUUAUUUCCGCUUGAUUAAUUAUUCCAUCUAAAGCCUUAUAGAUGUAAUAAAAAAUCAUAGUGUGGUUGCGAAUUAAACAAAUAAGGAGAUAUGUCCAUCGCUUAUAAAUGUGCAUGUAAUAUACCAAUAGACGUAUAUUGGGAAAUAAAUAAAUUAAGCGUGAGUAUUUACCUAAAUUUGAAAAUUAUUUCCAAAUCCGAGCUUAACAGGAUCGGGGUCGCAACCAGCUCCUUGAUGGUGAAAGGCGACGGAUGGUGGCGAGCAGCGGUGGCACAGAGAUUCACGAUCGAAGCUGGCACAGUUCGAUGAGCCUGCAAAAAUGAAAACUUCGAAAGUUGACUUGGCUCGUGGCUGCUUGAAUCAGGAACGUUAGAUGCUGUAAUGGUGGUGUUCCUUUGUUAACGAAUCUCCCGUCGCCGGUGGAGAUCAGGGUUGGACGAAGACACUCGCGGAUGAUUUGUAGGCGUGGCAGAACAAGUGGCCUUUUUUCAAGUCAAAGUCAAUGGAUCUUCUUCAUGCAGCAAGUGGAAUUGUCUUCAUGCAGCAAGUGGAAUAUUCAACGUGAGUGCUUUCGGCAAAAGAACCACGCCUGGAAUUGCUGGAACUUAACGGUGAGCGUAGAGCUCGUGGCGUAUCAGGUCAGCGGCUUAGUCGUUGAGGUUGGGGCUCGCAUCGACAGGUGCUUAACGUCGCCGGUUCCGUAGCAAAGGGAUAGCACGAGCGGUGUUCUGACCAAGCCUUGUCCGAAGGACCCCUCUUCUCUAUCUCUCAGGUGUUUUGAUCAACGUGCUUGGAGAACUCUGAAUUGCUGACCUCCGAUUUUUGUGUGUGCUGUGCUAUGGCCGUCUCAAUCUUCGCGUGUGGAGGGUACUGCAGAGAAGAAAGCCAAGUGUUGCAGAUUGACUGCACCAACUUAUUUGCCGAUGGAGGGGAUUCGUCGUCGUUGUGGAUCCCAGUCAAGUCAGGCCCUCAUCAAUGCAAUAGACAAUAGGAGCAGCGACGUCCAUGGGCGGUGGACUGCAACAUCGUCAAGGUCGGCAUCGAUCUAGCCGGGGCAAAUCAGAACAACUUGUCCUUUGGAAGCUGCAGCGAGUGGACUGCAACAUCGUCAAGGUCGGCAUCGAUCUAGCCGGGGCAAAUCAGAACAACUUGUCCUUUGGAAGCUGCAGCGAGGCUACUGGUGGUAUCAAUGGGCUUGGCGAACCUGGCUUUUCAUAUGGGACUCCUCAAUCGGCAAUAGGAGGUGUUGCGAUUCCUGAUGCUUCACGAGCAAUCUGUACAGAAGCUUCCCCUCACGAUUUUUCAUCCAAUUCAGUGUAUGGCCAUAUCUUUAAUUGUGAGGCCUCCUCCCUUUUUGUCUAUCGUGAGCUUGCUUUUAUAGCAUCCGACUCUGCACUUCAAAACAGGAAAUAUGAAUAUACUAAAGAAAGCCACCGACUGACUUCCUUUUUUUGUGAGGUUUUAUUCUUUCUUUCUUUCCCUUGUAUGCAUUGCGGAUCCAUGUGUCCUCAUUGAAG
rnacentral:lncRNA from 1 species